CGAUAGGGUCAACAAAGUUGUGUCCGAUUUUCUUUCGCUCAUUUUCACAGGAAGAAAACACGCAAUAAGUGAUUUGUCAUGAACAGAAAAAGCAAUCGUGGAGGAGACAUGCACUCAAUUUUCAAAACCAAAAAAGUAAUGGGUUCAAUGUUAUUAGUUGGAUUGAUUUCUUUUCCCAUAUUCUUUGUUGUAAAAGAAUGGCUUGUGGUACAGAAGAGAAAACACAAUGAAGAGAGAAAGAAAAUAAUCACAGAGUUAAGGAGGAAACAAGAAGAAGCAUUCGAGGAGAUGGAAAGAGCAGAAAAAUUAAAGGAAAGUCAAUCAUCAAGCUGAUAAACCCACAAUGUAUAGGCUGACUUUGAAAAAGUAUUUAAUGUUUGAGGAUAACUAAGUGGGAGUGAAGGACUUUUAAAGUAUCUGAGUAAGUGCAUUUCUUUGUUGAUGGCAGGUCCAGCAAAACAACAGAAUGUACAAGGAAAAAGUUAUAUAUUCCAGGGAACAAUAUUUGUGAUGUUUUGAUGCCUGGAAAACAACUGUCUACUGUUGUACAUGACAUCUUUGUAUACUGGCAUUAAGAACAUUUCAAAUUAUAGAUAUUUAUUUGCUGUGAAAACAGAUUUGAUUUAUGUUUUAUUUUGUAUUUGCAGGUAAAAUAAAUUGUUCAUCGAUAUUAAA